rnacentral:sRNA from 1 species
ACCGGGCACAGUGAUGCAUGCCUGUAAUCCCAGCAAUUUAGGAGGCUGAGGCAGGAGGUUCAUGAGUUCAAAGCCAGCCUCAGCAACAGCAAGGCCCUAAGCAACUUAGCAAGACCCUGCCUCUA